UAGAUACCCUGGUAGUCCGCACAGUAAACGAUGGAUGCUCGCUGUUGGCCUUUGUGGUCAGUGGCUUAGCGAAAGCGUUAAGCAUCCCACCUGGGGAGUACGCCGGCAACGGUGAAACUCAAAGGAAUUGACGGGGGCCCGCACAAGCGGAGGAACAUGUGGUUUAAUUCGAUGAUACGCGAGGAACCUUACCCGGGCUUGAACUGCAGCUGAACGAUUCAGAGAUGAUGAGGCCCUUCGGGGCAGCUGU
rnacentral:rRNA from 1 species